GUGCCAUUGGUGUAGUGGAAACACGCGCCCAGCUUCUGAGCCAAUAAACGAAUUCUCAUCUGGGGCGACUCCGGGGUUCGAAUCCCUGAUGGCGCA